GUUUGGAAGACCUCAGUGCUCCAGGCCAGCAGGGGGUGGGGGAUCAGGGAUGGGGGGGUCUCUCCGGAACCUGAUUUAGAAGCUUACAAGCAUCCUGCUUACGCAGAGCAACUCCCCUCCCCUCCCAGCUGUGCCCCGCCCAGAUCCCCAGAUGAGCCUGGGCCUGCUGUCCUAGGGGAUAAGAAGGGCUCUGCGUGGAGGACAUUGGUCCUGCUGAGGCUUCCAGAGGUUGGCAAUUUUCUGUAGAUUGGAUACUCUACAAAGUUCCCCAGGAUGAAGCCCAGGAGUGCGGAGCUGAGCUCACCGUGGGCUCUGAGCCAGAGAGAGGAGACACUAGGAGAAGGACCCCCCCGAAGGCUGCAGAAAGGUUCCAGGCCUCCAUGUUGAUAGCAGAAGUGGCGAGGCAGCUCACCCUCCGCCCUGCUGAUUUCUGUGCACAUUUGGGGCCACGUUUUCAACAGCUCCAGCGCUGGAGCCAAGAGACAGUUGGCCUCAGGUUUCCACCUCAAAUCCAGCCCUUCAGAUGCAGCUGAUGUCUUAGCCACCACACACAGCAACCUUUUCUGUCUUCACAGUUGUGUCUCUGAAGCAACUUCCAACUAAAUAAAAGCAGCUCCGUAAAGGACGCGUCAUUGAGGCUCUCGUGACCUGUGCCAGGUGGGAGGAAGCGACCUCUGCUCUAUUUCCCAGCCCUGAUACCCAACCUGGCAUGGAGGGUAGCUGUUGCCUGGUUA